AGCGAUUUAGUGUAAAUGGUAGCACAAAAGGCUCAUGUCCUUUUAGUAGUUGUUCAAGUCAACUUAUCGCAC
rnacentral:tRNA from 1 species